AUCGUGCACGUCCCUGAUGGUAGGAGCCCUUCUCCUGCACGAGCACAGAAUGUCUAGCCGUCCGUGAACACCCCCACCGGCACCCCCCCUUCCCGUGCAUGCGCGGUGCGGGCGAGGGGGAAGGCGCGCCGCCGGCUUGCGCAGGCACGGAACCCGACUGGGCCUCUAAAUGGCCAAACCUGAAACACCUGCACAAGGAAAAAUAUCCCACCAAAUGCCAGGAGCACCCUCCCCUUGCUGCUCUGAAAACACUGGACACAGUAAAUGAACAAGAAAUAGAUCUAAUCCCUGAUGACACGGAGAUACAAGAUUGAAUCGAGCCCUUGCUAUGGAUAUUUCUUGUUGCCCAUUUUGGUUGUGCUGGGCCAGGGAAGUCCCUUGGUGGAGCGAAUUUCUGGGGAGGAAGAGAAGAACAGGGUGUCCUCAGGAACUGCCCCCGGGACUUCUCUGUCACAUCUGAUCUCUGAAGAGAGAGAGAACCUGGGCUAGCAGCUCCCUUUCAGGAGGGAGGGUUGAAUCAAAAAAGUUCUGAACAUCUUCCAAGAUAAGGAAACUGAGGCCCAGAGAGGCAGAGCCUUGACAUAUAUUUAGCCUGAUAACCACUGAGAAAGGGAGAGACUGAGCCUACAUUCAAUUCGGAAAAUGAUUGGAUCAGAGGUUCGAUGAUACGUUUUCAGCGAGUAGCCAAUCAAGAGGAUGGUGAUAGAAAUAUCUGUGACAGUAUCAGCAAGGAGCCAGUCCCUUGCUGUUUCACAAAAGCCAUAAACCCAGUAAUGGCGAUUUCUUCUUGUAACAAAGAAGACAGUAAAAUCAAAGGGGAAAUAUUCAAAGUGGAAUGAAAGGAAUUGGCACUAGAAAAGACGAUGUGGUGACUGGAGAAAAAUAGGAAAAGAUUUUAGAAAUUCUCCAUUGUGGGGGGACUCUACAAUCACUGGCUUUGUCUCUUAUCCAGUUUCCUUCCCUGUUGUACUAACCCUGUGCUUCCUGGGUGUCUGCUCGAAACCAGCAGAAAGAGGAAGGGUUUCCACACGCUAAUAGGUAAAUCCAAGCAGCCCGUGUCUGCGUGGAGCAACCAGUGACUCAGUAAUGCUCAAAAGCAAGGUCAGAGGCAAAGCAAACCUGCCUUCCCCCAGAUGCUUGGUGACUGGGUUCUAAUAAUCCACCCUGAAAGUUAGUGCCCAAGGGCAAGUACGCAGCAGAGCAGAGCCGGCACAGAAACACCUCAGUUCGUGCAGCGGAAAAGACAGAGGGUCAGAAGUUCUAAAUCCUGGACACCACUCUACCAUCAACGAGCUCUGAUUUUGGACAAGUUCUUCACCCUCUCCCUUUAUGGAAUGAAGACGUUGAACAAGACUAAGCUCCUUAUCCUAUGACGCUCCAAAGAACCUUAAUUUAAUUACCUUUUCCCCCAAACCCUCCCUUCCCUUGCCCAUCUUUCCCCCCAGAUCUACCUAGCACAGCCCUAACCCUCAAUCAACCCAACUCUUCUAAUCUUUGUGUCGCCGCCCCCAGGCAGCUGAGAAGCACGGGAGAAAGUGUCGCAACUGAGAAGGCGGGUGCCACCCCCGAUCCGGAGCGAGCAGCCUCCCCCUUCAGGCGGCAAAGGUCCUCCCUCAGGUUAGAGAGAACAGAGGACCCCUCGGGUCCCUGCCUUCUGCCUGCUCUGCAGACUCACUGCCGCCACAAGUGAUCUCCUCUUCCCGUCUCUGUAGAGGAGGGAUCUUUCCCUGGACGAUGCUCCACUGAUUAGCAUUUCUAUGAGACAUAACUUUCUUCCAUUUUACUGAGGAUUUCUUCAGCAUAAAAUGCUUACAUAAUCUUAUUAUUUUUUAAAAACCCUCCCUUGUGUGUCCUGAGGGGCCGUUUCCUUUCUUGAGUUAAGCUCUUCGAAAGGGUGGUCUGUGACAAUCAUGCCCACUUUAUUUCAAUUCCCUCCUUCAUUCACUUUUACCCGGCUUCUGCCCCGGCCACCCCAAGUGAACACCCCUCUCCAAAUUAUCACCUGCCUCAUUGCUAAAGCCAGAGGACACGGUCUAGUCCUCAUGCCUAAUAGCACUUGCACUGAAAUGUCCUUUCCCUUGGCUUUUAUAAUCUCCCUCUCUCUCUGUCUCCACCUUAAAUGUUGAUCUACCCCCUGGUAGUGUCUCAGGCUCUUCUUCCCUGGUUGGAUAAAUUUACCAACUUUCUAGAUUUCAUUUUUCCAAAACCGAACUAGUCAUCCUGCUCUCUAAACCCUCUAUGUCCUUCUCAACUUGAGGGACCAGCAGUCACUUUAUCACCAAUAUCAGAAACCUUAACCCCAUCCUUGAAUUCACCAUUUCUUUCACCUUCAUUAUAAUUGGUCAUUGAAUCAAUAUCAGUUCCACCUCUGUAACGGCACACUCAUUAUCAGGCAGAUCUGAUCUUGUCAUCACCACCAACCACCUCUGAGACACCACACUGAAAAUUUUCAGAGGUUCCAGAGCACCGACAAGAUACAGUGCAGCUCUUCGCCAUGGACCGCAAAGCCUUCUGGUAGCCAUCGCUUACAUACUGCACUGAUCGCACCUCCAGCCACUCUGCGCUGUUGCACUCUGUAUUUUUGUCAGAACAAGUGCCUGUGGUCUCCAGAAUAUCUCAUGCUGGUACUCACCCAGGGACUUUGCACAUCCUUCUCCUUCUGCUAAAUUCCUCUGCUCCCCACGUCAGCUGACUCGAGUCUACACAUGCUUCAGACUCAGCUCCAGUGUCUUCUCCACAGAAAGUCUUUCUUGCUGGCCCAGUCUCUGUUGGUCUAGCCCACUAUCUGGAAUAUAGCAAAACUUUUCAAUGUUUCUGAAAGUUCAAUGAUCUGCUUCAAUGAUUUUCUCUUUUAUUUUACUUUUUAAAAUUUUAUUUAUUAUUAUUAUUAUUAUUUUGGGGGGCUGCAUUGGGUCUUCAUUGCUGCACAUGGGCUCUUCUCUAGUUGCAGCGAGCAUGGGCUCUAGGAGCACGGGCUUCAGUAGUUGCGGCACACGGGCUUAGUUGCUCCGUGGCAUGUGGGAUCUUCCCGGACCAGGGCUCGAACCCGUGUCCCCUGCAUCAGCAUGUGGAUUCUUAACCACUGCGCCACCAGGGAAGUCCCGUGAUUUUCUCUUUUAAGCAAGUCAAUUUACCCUAAUUUCAUACGCCUGACCUCUAAAGUACCUCAACUUUAUUUGUGCUUCACUUACUCUUCUUUGGGUCUUUAACGCAUUUUCAGUGUAUCACUUUUAAUUCUGUCUUACACAGUUCUUACAAAAUAUUUUCCAAAUAAAAAUGUUAAAGAGAAGCA